GUUCUCCGCCAACUCAGAAACAUUCAGCGAAGUAGAAUGAAACUUAAAUCAUUUAUUGUCAUCAUAAUAAAAAAGGGGGAGAUUGUUAGUGUUUACUUUCAAUGAUGACAUAUAUAAUGUUGCACAUUGUGCACGAAAAAUAAAGUCAUCAACACAAAAAAGAAAGAUAGCUUGAUCAUAAAUCAAGAAGGCAAAAUCAGGAAUGAGUCAAUUAAAGAAGACAGAGAAGGAAAGGUCGACUCCAUCAAGGAAGUCAAUGAAAGGAAGAGGAUCAAUCAGAAGACUGAAUCACAGAUGCAAAGGAAGGAGCGCAUAUAUCAACAAAGUCGAAGAAAUAUGGAGAUCAAUCAGAAGUACCAAUCGCGAAUACAAAGGAAGGAAACAAGUAAAUCUGACAGAAUCAGAAGCCUCAAUUGCGGACACAAGGAAAGGAAACAAAAAUAAGUCACCAAGAUGAAGACAACCAGAAGAAGGUAAGAGAUCUAAGAGAUCUGAAAUAGCACAUCAGUUAUGAAGAUUCAAAGUCGGCGACCAUAAAGCCCGGACCUUAUUCUUGGGAAAAGAUCAAUCAAUCCUUUUUCCAAGGAUCAAAUCUCUUGGGUUGCAUCUCUCUGUCCAUCCUUAGGACUCCAGGAAUCAAGCAAAUAUAUUGACGAAGAAAGAAGAUGAAGCACAUACAUCUGUCUAGUCAUUCUAAAGUUAUUUGUUCUACUCUUAAUAAGCAUUGUAAUUCACUCUAGUUGACUUACUGAGUACACAAAAGAGGGAAGAGAGAUAGAAAUCUAUUUGUGAGGCAUUGUAUCAAUUAUUUACUAGAGAAACAAGGUUAAGCAGAAAGCUGGUGUGUGCGUAGGAAACUCACCCUCAGAGUUGUAAUUAAGAUCACGAUAAGAACUUGAAUCCAAACCAAUAAGAAAACAUCGAGUGUUGUUUCAAUUUCUGCUAUCUGUUUAUAUCCGUCUCGCUGCUUACAUAAGAGUCGACUAACAACACACUCUAGUCGACUGAAAAAGAAAGGAUUAUAAUUCACCCACCCCCUCUUGUACUUUCCAUUUAUAAUAAUACAUAGCUCAUGACUAUGAGUUCUUAAAUUAGUACAAUCACUACAACUGAAGAACCAAGAAGACAAAAUGUGAGGAGCUUAAAAACGCAGUGAAUAGAUAACCAUCCAUAACUAUUGAAAACAGAGAAUUACAAAAUAACAUGUUACGCAGUACUGCAUAAUAAAAGGUGGAUACUAAAAGUCUUGACUGAAAAUAAAUCUCUCUUUUAUACCGAUAGCUGAAAUUGUUUCAGAAACUACAUCUGAUAUUGUCGUAUAGAAAUCAUAUUAUAAUCUCUAUCACAUCUAUAAUGAAUUCUGUGCUAUAUUUGUCUAGGCAUAUAUCCAUAAGCCUCGUGUGUACAUUAUCUAACAAUAUUUCAAUAUCUAUUUAGCCAACCCGAUCGACUAGGUAUUCAACCUAAAUCUUUUCCGUAUGACUUACACAAAAAAAAACUAUUAUCCCUUUCCAUAUGAAACAGCCAGUUGGCUAUCUGAAUAGCCAAUC